rnacentral:tRNA from 1 species
ACUAAAGUAGCUUAAAGGUAAAGCACUCGAUUGAUAAUCGAGAGAGUGUAGGUUCAAUUCCUACCUUUAGUACCA